rnacentral:rRNA from 1 species
UACGGGGGGGGCAAGCGUUUGUUCGGAAUUACUGGGCGUAAAGGGCUCGUAGGCGGCCAACUAAGUCAGACGUGAAAUCCCUCGGCUUAACCGGGGAACUGCGUCUGAUACUGGAUGGCUUGAGUUCGGGAGAGGGAUGUGGAAUUCCAGGUGUAGCGGUGAAAUGCGUAGAUAUCUGGAGGAACACCGGUGGCGAAGGCGGCAUCCUGGACCGACACUGACGCUGAUGAGCGAAAGCCAGGGGAGCAAACGGG